UACAGAGGGGGCAAGCGUUGUUCGGAAUUACUGGGCGUAAAGGGCGCGUAGGCGGCCUGCUAAGUCGAACGUGAAAUCCCUGGGCUCAACCCAGGAACUGCGUCCGAUACUGGUUGGCUUGAAUCCGGGAGAGGGACGUGGAAUUCCAGGUGUAGCGGUGAAAUGCGUAGAUAUCUGGAGGAACACCGGUGGCGAAGGCGGCAUCCUGGACCGGCAUUGACGCUGAGGAGCGAAAGCCAGGGGAGCAAACGGG
rnacentral:rRNA from 1 species